GAAUUAGUAAAUAAAUCGAUAUCAAUAUCAACAUGUCAGCAUUCAAUGCUAAUAACAGUUUAAUAAUAAUUGAUAAUAUUAUUUUGUCAAGCAACAAUAUAAACGAUGCUUAUAUAUUUAUCCCUUUAUGAUCAUCAUUUGUUGAACAUAACUUACGACUUGUUAGGGCUUCAGGCCGCUACUAUGGUAACAUAUAAAUGUUACCCGAUCUGUCCCCUUUUGAUUAGAUGAGAUUUUCUUUGAGAAUCUUCACAAUCAAAACUAUUUUACCUUUCAAGAAUAAUAAUUUGAUAAAAUGAACAUUUAUAGGCAUUUUAAUGCGCUAUUCAUUCUGAUCCAUAGCUUGAUAAGUCUUGUCGAUAUAAUCUUCAGUGAUAAUAUACUGAUUGUCUCAUUUAGGAUUUAAAUUUAGCCCUGGUCUUGUAAGUGACCUUCAAUAAAUCAUAGUAUAUCAUCUUUCUUGAAGAAUAUAUGCUAAAUCUCUUCGUGUCUUGAUUGGCAUUAUAAGUCUGAUAAUUGGUGAUAAUCUGGAUAUAAUUGUCACUUCAUAAAUCUUGUAGAUAACCAUACAGGGCUUAAAAACAGUUUUGUGAUGGCUUCCUCUCUUUUUUUUUAAAGAAUAUAUUUAAUUUUGGAACCACUUUUGUCGCUCGUAGCAAUAAAUCAAUCAUAAUAAUAAUGUCCCUAGUUUGAGCAUUAAUAUAUAAUAAUAAUUCAGCUAUGGUAAUGAUUCUUGCCCCAAUGUUGACAUGCAAAAAUUGAUAUUGACAAUUAUCAUCUCUGGAAAUUAACAAUUACCUUCUUUGGAUCAAAGGAUCAAGAAUCUCGCACAGCUGCUCGGAAGGUUUCUCCGAAGUGUUUUAGCCGAGGUAAUUCGAUACUCUUCAUGUUCAACAAUUGAUUCAUCAUAGGAAGUACGUCUAUUCUUGCGAAUGCAUACUUCAUAUGGUCUUUAUAUUGUCCAGACCUUUCAUAUGCCAUCGUAAUUGCACAACCAUUUCUAUCUGCUUCGUCACAAUUUUUUUCAUCAUCUUGAUGAUCUUCUUUCUUUUCUUCUUUACUAGUGAUGUUGGCCGAUGUUUCAUAAAGAUUAUGAUCUAAUGACUUUACAUAAAAAGCAGACAGUUUUUUAAUCAUAUUUUCAAGAGCAUAAGCCUUUGUAAUAAGAUCAUGAAAGGUCUGUAUAUCUGCACUAAUCAGGUUGCAUGCCAUUUUUGAUCUUAUACCUUCCAAACAUAAUUUAACCUGAUCUGAUUCUCUUGGAAGAUAUCAGCAUGAUACCCCCAAGUCUUUCCAUCGGCUGAUGAAUUCGUUAAUUGAUUCAUCUUCUCGUUGGCAGAUAGAGGCCAAUUCAGUCAAACUGACUUCUCUGUCGAAAGAGAAAAAGUUUGACAUAAAUUUGUCCUGCAUCUGUUCCCAAGUAUGAAUAGACACUGGAUCCAAAGCUGAAUACCAUCUGAAGGCUUUUCUUGUCAGGGAUGACCCAAAUAAUCUCAAACAAUACUGAGAAACUCUAGAGAAAUUUCCUAUCAUUGUUAUGAAGUAUAUUAUAUGUUCAUCUGGUGACCCGUUCCCAUUAAACUUCUAAAAGUUUAGGUGUUUAAAAUCAGCGGGACAUGACAUUUCUUCUAUUUCAGGGGGAUAUAAUGUCCGGUAUUGAAAUUUUUUGUUCUGACCUCAUUCUUUUUCUAGAUGAAUGGUUUCAAUGACCAUUUGUCAGAUUUCUUCCUGCGCUAUGAUUUGAGCAAUAUUAGGCGCAUGCCCCUGAAAUCUAAUCGUUUGUGGUUGUGGUCUUUUUGCUUGUGGUUUAAUGUUGUUCAUAGCAGUUGCUGUCAGAAGAUUAGGGACUUCUUUAGCCACGUGCUCAUCUGGCAAAAGCUAAUUAGGCUGAUUAAUAUCUGCCGACAAGUUUUCUGUUUCUUUAUACUUUAAUUGUCUUAAUAUUAAAGGAUGAAGCGAGUGCUGUAUUGUUGAUGCUGUUGAGGAAGAUGAACUGUUGCUUAAUUCGAAACCAGUGUACUGUCGCUUCGAAGGACUAACUGACUCGAAUCGCAAUAUCCUUGGUGCAUGAGUUCAUGUUAAAUUCUUUGAGGGGGAUGUUGUAAGUGAACAUUCACUUGUCACAACAGCUUUCCCUUUUAUUCUUCUGAAUUCAUAAUGAUUCUGCGGAAGAUGUUUUUACAAUUGUAAUUGUCAGUAUUGGAAGACAUUUGAGAGUGAUAGCUUUUCGGUCCUUCUUGGAUGAAAUGAUUGCGUAACUGAGAUGAGGCUGCGUCUCGUGACAUUUUGCAUAAUUGACCCUCUAACUGUACUUAGCGGGACGAUACUUCUUGUGGGAAUAGAUCGAACCCUUCGUCUUUCAGAUGUCACUAUCAUCAAUCUUUCAUCGUCCUACUACACUGCUGAUGAAGCAGAAACUAUUCCAAACAUCACCUGGCAUUGUCUAUCUUUAAUCAUAACUGAUUCAACUUUCUCUGAUACUUUCUGUAGUGGUGAUCAUGUAUUAUCGAUAUAAUCUACCGCGAAUUCGUUGGGUGUGAAGUAAACAAUCGCAUUAGUCGGGAGAAAAGCCAUUGCAGUUGUGUAAGGACGGAAAACUUGUUAUUCAAAACAGAAUACCAGUUAUGUUAAUUUAAUAAAAUCGUACUUUGUUUUAGAGA